rnacentral:rRNA from 1 species
UACGUAGGGCGCAAGCGUUAUCCGGAAUUAUUGGGCGUAAAGAGCUCAUAGGCGGUUUGUCGCGUCUGCCGUGAAAGUCCGGGGCUCAACUCCGGAUCUGCGGUGGGUACGGGCAGACUAGAGUGAUGUAGGGGAGACUGGAAUUCCUGGUGUAGCGGUGGAAUGCGCAGAUAUCAGGAGGAACACCGAUGGCGAAGGCAGGUCACUGGGCCGCAACUGACGCUGAGGAGCGAAAGCAUGGGGAGCGAACAGG